UGGGGAAUAUUGGACAAUGGAGGAAACUCUGAUCCAGCAAUUCUGUGUGUGUGAAGAAGGUUUUAGGACUGUAAAACGCUUUUAGUAGGGAAGAAAAAAAUGACGGUACCUACAGAAGAAGCAACGGCUAAAUACGUGCCAGCAGCCGCGGUAAUACGUAUGUUGCGAGCGUUAUCCGGAAUUAUUGGGCUUAAAGGGCAUCUAGGCGGUAAGACAAGUUGAAGGUGAAAACCUGUGGCUCAACCAUAGGCUUGCCUACAAAACUGUUGAACUAGAGUACUGGAAAGGUGGGUGGAACUACACGAGUAGAGGUGAAAUUCGUAGAUAUGUGUAGGAAUGACGAUGAUGAAGAUAACUCACUGGACAGAAACUGACGCUGAAGUGCGAAAGCUAGGGGAGCAAACAGG
rnacentral:rRNA from 1 species